rnacentral:lncRNA from 1 species
UUAUUUUUAUUCUUAGACGUAUAUAAUUAAUAAUUGUAUAUGCGAGAUUAUGUUUUGUUUAAGUUGACAUCAAAUAAGUUUUAAACAAAUAAAAUGUGAAAGUCAAUAAAUUGACGUCAAAUAAGAUUUAUAAUUAAAAUAAUUUCAAAUAAGUAUAUAUCACACAAUUAAUCAAACAAAUUACUGAAAUUUAUUAAAAAUUUAUAAAAAAUAGAUUAAAAAAAUAAAAAAAAUAAAAUUGCAUAAUAUCUUAUAUAACUUUCAUAUUUAAUAUAAAUAAAAAUAAUUUAAUUAUAUGUUUUCAAAUACACUAAAAUAUAAAACACUACUUAUCAAAAAUGUUAAAACAUAUUUAUUUUGUAAAUUAGAUUUUGUCAAAAAUAUUAUUAGGCUUUUAAAACGUUGUUUAAAUAUAAUUUUAGUUAAAUUACGGCCAAAUCGGUCAUCUUUUAAUUGAUGAAAUAAGUUAUUUAAACGGUCUCUCACAUGAAAAUCAGUUAUUGGAUGAAUGAAACUAAACUCGUGAUGUUAACCACAUAACAUCAUUAUUGGAUCCGCAAGAUGUGAAAAUUAUUCAAAGUAUUCCUAUCAGUAGAUCUCAUCUAGAAG